GACGAACGCUGGCGGCGUGCUUAACACAUGCAAGUCGAACGGAAAGGCCCUGCUUUUGUGGGGUGCUCGAGUGGCGAACGGGUGAGUAACACGUGAGUAACCUGCCCUUGACUUUGGGAUAAAUUCAGGAAACUGGGGCUAAUACCGGAUAGGAGCUCCUGCUGCAUGGUGGGGGUUGGAAAGUUUCGGCGGUUGGGGAUGGACUCGCGGCUUAUCAGCUUGUUGGUGGGGUAGUGGCUUACCAAGGCUUUGACGGGUAGCCGGCCUGAGAGGGUGACCGGCCACAUUGGGACUGAGAUACGGACCAGAGUCCUACGGGAGGCAGCAGUGGGGAAUAUUGCACAAUGGGCGGAAGCCUGAUGCAGCAACGCCGCGUGCGGGAUGACGGCCUUCGGGUUGUAAACCGCUUUCGCCUGUGACGAAGCGUGAGUGACGGUAAUGGGUAAAGAAGCACCGGCUAACUACGUG
rnacentral:rRNA from 1 species